GCAGUGGGGAUCUUGCACAAUGGAGGAACUCUGAUGCAGCGAUGCCGCGUGAGUGAAGAAGGCCUUUGGGUUGUAAAGCUCUUUCGUCGGGGAAGAAAAUGACUGUACCCGAAUAAGAAGGUCCGGCUAACUUCGUGCCAGCAGCCGCGGUAAUACGAAGGGACCUAGCGUAGUUCGGAAUUACUGGGCUUAAAGAGUUCGUAGGUGGUUGAAAAAGUUGGUGGUGAAAUCCCAGAGCUUAACUCUGGAACUGCCAUCAAAACUUUUCAGCUAGAGUAUGAUAGAGGAAAGCAGAAUUUCUAGUGUAGAGGUGAAAUUCGUAGAUAUUAGAAAGAAUACCAAUUGCGAAGGCAGCUUUCUGGAUCAUUACUGACACUGAGGAACGAAAGCAUGGGUAGCGAAGAGGAUUAGAUACCCUCGUAGUCCAUGCCGUAAACGAUGUGUGUUAGACGUUGGAAAUUUAUUUUCAGUGUCGCAGCGAAAGCGAUAAACACACCGCCUGGGGAGUACGACCGCAAGGUUAAAACUCAAAUGAAUUGACGGGGACCCGCACAAGUAGUGGAGCAUGUGGUUUAAUUCGAAGAUACGCGCAGAACCUUACCAACACUUGACAUGUUCGUCGCGACUUUAAGAGAUUAAAGUUUUCGGUUCGGCCGGACGAAACACAGGUGCUGCAUGGCUGUCGUCAGCUCGUGUCGUGAGAUGUUGGGUUAAGUCCCGCAACGAGCGCAACCCUCACUUUUAGUUGCCAUCAUUUAGUUGGGCACUCUGAAAGAACUGCCAGUGAUAAGCUGGAGGAAGGUGGGGAUGACGUCAAGUCCUCAUGGCCCUUACGUGUUGGGCUACACACGUGCUACAAUGGUAUCUACAACAGGAAGCAAAACCGCGAGGUUAAGCAAAUCCUUAAAAGAUACCUCAGUUCGGAUUGCACUCUGCAACUCGAGUGCAUGAAGCUGGAAUUACUAGUAAUCGUGGAUCAGCGUGCCACGGUGAAUGCGUUCCCGGGUCUUGUACACACCGCCCGUCACACCAUGGGAGUUGGUUCUACCUUAAGGCAAGGUUUCAAACCCUUGACCACGGUAUAGUCAGCGACUGGGGUGAAGUCGUAACAAGGUAGCCGUAGGGGAACCUGCGGCUG
rnacentral:rRNA from 1 species